rnacentral:tRNA from 1 species
GCGCCCGUAGCUCAGUUGGAGAGAGCCCCAGCCUUCUAAGCUGGUUGUCGCAGGUUCGAUUCCUGCCGGGCGCGCCA